GGCUGGUCCAAGUGCAGUGGUGUUUAUAACUAAUUGAUCUCAACCAGUUACAGAUUCCUUUGUUCCUUCUCCACUCCCACUGUUUCACUUGAGUAGCCUAAA
ensembl:misc_RNA Y_RNA Y RNA